rnacentral:rRNA from 1 species
UACGUAGGGGGCAAGCGUUGUCCGGAUUUAUUGGGCGUAAAGAGCGUGUAGGCGGUUUGGUAGGUCCGCUGUGAAAACUCGAGGCUCAACCUCGAGACGCCGGUGGAAACCAUCAGGCUAGAGUCCGGAAGAGGCGAGUGGAAUUCCUGGUGUAGCGGUGGAAUGCGCAGAUAUCAGGAGGAACACCCGUGGCGAAGGCGGCUCUCUGGGACGGUACUGACGCUGAGACGCGAAAGCGUGGGGAGCGAACAGG